UUGCACGCUGGCGGCAGGCCUAACACAUGCAAGUCGAGCGGAUGAAGGGAGCUUGCUCCUGGAUUCAGCGGCGGACGGGUGAGUAAUGCCUAGGAAUCUGCCUGGUAGUGGGGGAUAACGUCUGGAAACGGGCGCUAAUACCGCAUACGUCCUGAGGGAGAAAGUGGGGGAUCUUCGGACCUCACGCUAUCAGGUGAGCCUAGGUCGGAUUAGCUAGUUGGUGGGGUAAAGGCCUACCAAGGCGACGAUCCGUAACUGGUCUGAGAGGAUGAUCAGUCACACUGGAACUGAGACACGGUCCAGACUCCUACGGGAGGCAGCAGUGGGGAAUAUUGGACAAUGGGCGAAAGCCUGAUCCAGCCAUGCCGCGUGUGUGAAGAAGGUCUUCGGAUUGUAAAGCACUUUAAGUUGGGAGGAAGGGCAGUAAGUUAAUACCUUGCUGUUUUGACGUUACCAACAGAAUAAGCACCGGCUAACUUCGUG
rnacentral:rRNA from 1 species